AUGGCUUGGCAGUUAAGUGCCCUUGUGAUGGCCAUAACCUGUUUGAUGUUAUGCCGAACAAGCGAGCAGUCCUCAGAAAGUGAGCUGCUGCAGCAGCUCAGGAAGCAGCUGGAGUACCCUAGGCAGCUGGAAGUCUGGAACAACCCAAGUGGCAACCCCUGCUACACUCAGCCCACUUCGGUGGUCACCGUAACGUGCGAGGGGGAUGCCGUUACGGAGCUCAAGAUCGUCGGUGAUAGGAUCACCAAGCCACCAAAGUUCAGUGGCUAUCCUCUUCCAAAUGUUAGCCUCUCUGAAGCCUUUGUUAUCGACUCAUUUGUCACUACGCUGACAAGGUUAACUACCUUGCGGGUUGUGAUCCUGGUGUCUUUGGGCUUAUGGGGCCCUCUCCCCGACAAGAUUCACCGGCUGUCUUCGCUUCAAGUGCUUGACCUGAGCUCAAAUUUUCUGUAUGGAUCGAUCCCUCCGAAGCUGUCAGCCAUGUCGAGGCUUCAGACCCUGACACUGGAUGGUAACUACUUCAAUGGAACUGUGCCAGACUGGUUUGGUUCGCUCUCGAACCUCACGGUCCUUCGUUUGCAGCGUAACCGGUUGAAGGGGUCAAUACCAGCAUCAGUUGGUAAAGCUACAAUGCUUACCGAGCUAGCUCUUGCUGGCAACAAUAUCUCAGGCGAGGUUCCAGCUUUGGGUAGUUUGGUAAAACUUGAGAUGUUGGAUUUGAGGGACAACGAGUUGGACGGAGAGCUUCCAGACAUGCCUACAGCAUUGGUGACAGUCCUGCUUAGCAAGAACUCAUUCAAGGGUGAAAUUCCUGAAAAGUUUGGUCAACUGAAAAGGCUCCAACACCUUGAUCUCUCAUUCAACUUUCUCGAGGGCAGUCCUCCUGAAGAACUCUUUGAUCUCCCAAACAUCAGUUACUUGAACCUGGCAGCAAACAUGCUCAGCGGAUCACUUUCGAGUAGUUUAACAUGCAGCAGCACCCUGGGCUUUGUGGAUCUGUCUACUAACCGAAUCACAGGUGACCUGCCUGCUUGUCUAAGCGCCAACUUGAAUAACAGGGUUGUUAAGUUUGACGGGAAUUGCUUUAGUGCUGACCCUGAACACCAGCAUGAGGCUAACUAUUGUCAACAACCUCAUAAGGGGGGAAGAUCAGGCAAGGAUGUUGGACUUGUGGUUACUAUUGUCGGUAUAGUGCUGAUUGUGCUUGUUCUUUCUCUUCUACUAAUGGCAUCAAACAAAAGAAACUGUCAGAGAGUUACAGCAGAACAACAGUUGCUGCAAAAGCAAAUGCAAGAUAAUUCGACUCCAGGAAUGUCCUCCGAACUGCUAGAAAGUGCAAGGUACAUAUCUCAAGCCGUGAAGUUUGGGUCGCAAAUAAUGCCCACACAUCGUGUAUUUUCUUUAGAAGAGCUGAAAGAAGCAACAAAAUGCUUUGAACGGUCAGCAUUUUUAGGCGAGGGAUCCAUUGGAAAGCUAUACAAGGGAAAACUAGAGAAUGGAACCGUGAUUGCGAUAAGAUGUUUGGCAUUGCACCACAGAUAUUCAAUAAGAAAUCUAAAGCUUCGAUUAGAUCUACUCGCGAAGCUUCGCCACCCAAAUUUGGUUUGCCUCUUGGGGCACUGUACUGACAACGCAGUUGAUGAGUCAAGUGUAAAAAGGGUCUUUCUUGUUUAUGAAUAUGUACCUAAUGGGACUCUGUCUUCUUAUCUUUCUGGCUCUACUCCUGAGAAAACACUGAAAUGGUGUGAUAGACUACAUGUGCUGAUCGGCAUUGCAAGGGCUGUUCAUUUCUUACAUACAGGAAUAAUUCCUGGUUCCUUGUAUAAUCGGUUGAAAACUUCUAAUAUUUUGCUUGAUGAACACCAUAUUGCAAAACUGAGUGACUACGGUUUGUCCAUAAUCACAGAGGAGAUAUACAAACAUGAGGCAAUAGGAGAAAGGCAGAGAUACAUACAAAAUAACGCUGAAGAAUUGGAAACUUUGCAGGAUGAUGUAUGUUCUUUUGGUUGCAUUAUACUUGAAGCACUUAUGGGCUCCAAAUUACAUAGAAAAGGAGAUCCUUUUAUUUUAAGUGAACUGGUUAUGUCUCUAUCAUGCCAGGAAGAGCGUGAGCACGUUCUGGAUCCGGUCGUGCUCGGGACCUCAUCGCAGGACUCACUGUCAAUGGUGGUCUCCAUCACGAUCAAAUGCCUAUCCGUUGAAUCCUCAACCCGGCCCUCCAUCGAAGAGGUUCUCUGGAACCUGCAGUACGCCGCGCAGGUCCAGGGGACGGCCGACGGCGAUCUGAGAUCAGAAGUUUCUUCGCAAGCCUGUUAG
rnacentral:rRNA from 1 species